GCACAACGCGAAGAACCUUACCAGCUCUUGACAUGUCUCGUAUGGGUACCGGAGACGGUAUCCCUCAGUUCGGCUGGCGAGAACACAGGUGCUGCAUGGCUGUCGUCAGCUCGUGUCGUGAGAUGUUGGGUUAAGUCCCGCAACGAGCGCAACCCUCGCCUCUAGUUGCCAUCAUUCAGUUGGGCACUCUAGAGGGACUGCCGGUGAUAAGCCGAGAGGAAGGUGGGAUGGACGUCAAGUCCUCAUGGCCCUUACGGGCUGGGCUACACACGUGCUACAAUGGCGGUGACAAUGGGCAGCGAAGGGGCGACCCGGAGCUAAUCUCAAAAGCCGUCUCAGUUCGGAUUGUACUCUGCAACUCGAAUGCAUGAAGUUGGAAUCGCUAGUAAUCGUGGAUCAGCAUGCCACGGUGAAUAC
rnacentral:rRNA from 1 species